AGAGUUUGAUCAUGGCUCAGAAUCAACGCUGGCGGCGUGCCUCAGACAUGCAAGUCGAACGCGAAAGUUUCCUUCGGGGAAUGAGUAGAGUGGCGCACGGGUGAGUAACACGUAGGUAAUCUACCUUUGGAUGGGGAAUAACAACCGGAAACGGUUGCUAAUACCGCAUAAUGCAGCGGCACCUAAUGGUGACAGUUGUUAAAGCGGGGGAUCGAAAGACCUCGCGUCUGAAGAGGAGCCUGCGGCGGAUUAGCUAGUUGGUAGGGUAACGGCCUACCAAGGCGACGAUCCGUAGCCGGCCUGAGAGGGCGGUCGGCCACACUGACACUGACAUACGGGUCAGACUCCUACGGGAGGCAGCAGUCGGGAAUUUUGGGCAAUGGGCGAAAGCCUGACCCAGCAACGCCGCGUGAAGGAUGAAAUCCCUCGGGAUGUAAACUUCGCAAGAACGGGAAGAAUAAGUAGGGGACAAUACCCCCUAUGAUGACGGUACCGUUUAGUCC
rnacentral:rRNA from 1 species